ACUCUCAGAACCCAGCUGCCAUGCUAUGAGGAAGCGUAAGAAGUCCACAGAAUAUUCCAACGCAUAGGAAAAAAAUAAGUUGUUCAUGACUGGCUCUGAGGGGCUUCAUCCUACAUAUGUAAGAUUGAUGUCCAGCCAAGGAGCCAGUUGGGCCACCAUACAGAUUUCUGGAUAACACCUCCGUGUAACUUCUUCCUCUCAGAAAUGUGCCCCAGAAAUUCUGGACUCUUCAGCCUCCUCAAGUCUGUUUUGUCCUCAUAACGGCCAUACAGAAUUCUCUCAUGUGCCCUAGACUCUGAGAAAAGAGACAACAUUACAACAGAAGAAAACACAUCGUGAUUACAAUGAAGCAACAGGCCUUGCUGUUCCUCUCCCAUCAAAUAUUUCUCCAUUAGAUCAUCCACUUUGUCCUUCAGUCGUAUUUCCCAUAACUGUCCACAAGUACACAAUCCCCUGAUCUGCCAUUCUUUGUUUCCAAAGUCUCCUG